rnacentral:rRNA from 1 species
CCUACGGGAGGCAGCAGUGGGGGAUAUUGCACAAUGGGGGAAACCCUGAUGCAGCGACGCCGCGUGGGUGAAGAAGCGCCUCGGCGCGUAAAGCCCUGUCAGCAGGGAAGAAAAUGACGGUACCUGAAGAAGAAGCCCCGGCUAACUACGUGCCAGCAGCCGCGGUAAUACGUAGGGGGCAAGCGUUAUCCGGAUUUACUGGGUGUAAAGGGGGCGCAGGCGGCGAUGCAAGCCAGGAGUGAAAGCCCGGGGCCCAACCCCGGGACUGCUUUUGGAACUGCGUGGCUAGAGUGCAGGAGGGGCAGGCGGAAGUCGUGGGGUAGCGGUGAAAUGCGUAGAUAUCAGGAGGAACACUGGUGGCGAAGGCGGCCUGCUGGACUGCAACUGACGUUGAGGCCCGAAAGCGUGGGGAGCAAACAGGAUUAGAUACCCCUGUAGUC